CACGGAGUUAGCCGGGGCUUCUUCUCUCGGUACCGUCACUCCCCCAACGUAUUCAGUUGAAGGCCAUUCGUCUCGAUCGAAAGGAGUUUACGACCCGAAGGUCUUCAUCCUCCACGCGGCGUUGCGUCGUCAGGCUUGCGCCCAUUGCGAACAAUUCCCCACUGCUGCCUCCCGUAGGAGUCUGGGCCGCGUCUCAGUCCCAGUGUGUCCGUCCGCCCUCUCAGGCCGGAUACUGAUCGAGGCCUUGGUGAGCCGUUACCCCACCAACUAGCUAAUCAGGCGCGGGCCCCUCGUCAAGCGCCAGGCCUUGCGGUCCCCAGCUUUGAUGUCCAUCCGUUCAAGGACAGCAUGUUAUGCGGUAUUAGCGUUCCUUUCGGAACGUUAUCCCCCACCCGACGGCAGGUCACCCACGUGUUACUCACCCGUUUGCCACUCUACUCACCCCUUGCGGGCUUUCGCGUUCGACUUGCAUGUGUUAGGCACGCCGCCAGCGUUGAUUCUGAGCCAGGAUCAAACUCUC
rnacentral:rRNA from 1 species